AUGGCUCUAAUCCGGAUCAACACUGGUGUUCUGUGCUUGAUGGCACUUUUGAUGGUUUCAACCACUUUAUUGUCGAGUGAAGCAUCAGGGAGGAAGAUAGGCAAGGAAGCUAACAUUGGCGUCGAGGGGCACCGUGAACCCUACACUCCAUGUACGGAUCCUUCAUUUUGUAAUGAUAUCUGCAACAGAGAUGGUUACGGAGGUGGGACCUGCCGUGAUGGUCACUGCGAAUGCAUCAGAUAA
rnacentral:rRNA from 1 species